rnacentral:rRNA from 1 species
UACGGGGGGGGCAAGCGUUGUUCGGAAUUACUGGGCGUAAAGGGCUCGUAGGCGGCCAACUAAGUCAGACGUGAAAUCCCUCGGCUUAACCGGGAACUGCGUCUGAUACUGGAUGGCUUGAGAUUGGGAGAGGGAUGCGGAAUUCCAGGUGUAGCGGUGAAAUGCGUAGAUAUCUGGAGGAACACCGGUGGCGAAGGCGACAUCCUGGACCAACACUGACGCUGAGGAGCGAAAGCCAGGGGGAGCAAACGGG